GUGAGUAAUACAUCGGAACAUGUCCUGUAGUGGGGGAUAGCCCGGCGAAAGCCGGAUUAAUACCGCAUACGAUCUACGGAUGAAAGCGGGGGACCUUCGGGCCUCGCGCUAUAGGGUUGGCCGAUGGCUGAUUAGCUAGUUGGUGGGGUAAAGGCCUACCAAGGCGACGAUCAGUAGCUGGUCUGAGAGGACGACCAGCCACACUGGGACUGAGACACGGCCCAGACUCCUACGGGAGGCAGCAGUGGGGAAUUUUGGACAAUGGGCGAAAGCCUGAUCCAGCAAUGCCGCGUGUGUGAAGAAGGCCUUCGGGUUGUAAAGCACUUUUGUCCGGAAAGAAAUCCUUGGUUCUAAUAUAGCCGGGGGAUGACGGUACCGGAAGAAUAAGCACCGGCUAACUACGUGCCAGCAGCCGCGGUAAUACGUAGGGUGCGAGCGUUAAUCGGAAUUACUGGGCGUAAAGCGUGCGCAGGCGGUUUGCUAAGACCGAUGUGAAAUCCCCGGGCUCAACCUGGGAACUGCAUUGGUGACUGGCAGGCUAGAGUAUGGCAGAGGGGGGUAGAAUUCCACGUGUAGCAGUGAAAUGCGUAGAGAUGUGGAGGAAUACCGAUGGCGAAGGCAGCCCACUGGGCCAAUACU
rnacentral:rRNA from 1 species